rnacentral:tRNA from 1 species
GGGCAGAUACCCAAGUGGUCAGCGGGGACAGACUGUAAAUCUGUUGCAAACGCUUCGGAGGUUCGAAUCCUCCUCUGCCCACCA